GUGGUAGGGGAGCGUUCUGUAAGCCGAUGAAGGUGUGUUGAGAAGCAUGCUGGAGGUAUCAGAAGUGCGAAUGCUGACGUGAGUAACGACAAAACGGGUGAAAAACCCGUUCGCCGAAAGACCAAGGGUUCCAGUCCAACGUUAAUCGGGGCUGGGUGAGUCGACCCCUAAGGCGAGGCCGAAAGGCGUAGUCGAUGGGAAAAUGGUUAAUAUUCCAUUACUUCUGUGUAAUGCGAUGAGAGGACGGAGAAGGCUAAAUCAGCCUGGCGUUGGUUGUCCAGGUGAAAGGAUGUAGGCAUGUAUCUUAGGCAAAUCCGGGGUACUCUAUGCUGAGAUCUGAUAGCAAGCUGUACUUGUACAGCGAAGUGGUUGAUGCCAUGCUUCCAGGAAAAGUCUCUAAGCUUCAGUUACACAGGAAUCGUACCCGAAACCGACACAGGUGGUCAGGUCGAGUAGACCAAGGCGCUUGAGAGAACUCUGCUGAAGGAACUAGGCAAAAUGGUACCGUAACUUCGGGAGAAGGUACGCUGUUGUUGGUGAUGGAACUCGCUUCCUGAGCUGACGACAGCCGCAGAAACCAGGCCGCUGCAACUGUUUAUUAAAAACAUAGCACUCUGCAAACACGAAAGUGGACGUAUAGGGUGUGAUGCCUGCCCGGUGCUGGAAGGUUAAUUGAUGGGGUUAGCGUAAGCGAAGCUCUUGAUCGAAGCCCCAGUAAACGGCGGCCGUAACUAUAACGGUCCUAAGGUAGCGAAAUUCCUUGUCGGGUAAGUUCCGACCUGCACGAAUGGCAUAAUGAUGGCGGCGCUGUCUCCAGCAGAGGCUCAGUGAAAUCGAAAUCGCUGUGAAGAUGCAGUGUACCCGCGGCUAGACGGAAAGACCCCGUGAACCUUUACUGCAGCUUGACACUGAACUUUGACCUUACUUGUGUAGGAUAGGUGGGAGGCUUUGAAGCUGGAACGCUAGUUCCAGUGGAGCCGUCCUUGAAAUACCACCCUGGUAAUGUUGAGGUUCUAACUCUGUCCCGUGAUCCGGGACGAGGACCGUGUCUGGUGGGUAGUUUGACUGGGGCGGUCUCCUCCUAAAGAGUAACGGAGGAGUACGAAGGUGCGCUCAGCGUGGUCGGAAAUCACGCGUAGAGUAUAAAGGCAAAAGCGCGCUUAACUGCGAGACCCACAAGUCGAGCAGGUACGAAAGUAGGUCUUAGUGAUCCGGUGGUUCUGUAUGGAAGGGCCAUCGCUCAACGGAUAAAAGGUACUCUGGGGAUAACAGGCUGAUACCGCCCAAGAGUUCAUAUCGACGGCGGUGUUUGGCACCUCGAUGUCGGCUCAUCUCAUCCUGGGGCUGAAGCAGGUCCCAAGGGUAUGGCUGUUCGCCAUUUAAAGAGGUACGCGAGCUGGGUUUAGAACGUCGUGAGACAGUUCGGUCCCUAUCUACCGUGGGCGCUGGAAAUUUGAGAGGAUCUGCUCCUAGUACGAGAGGACCAGAGUGGACGAACCUCUGGUGUACCGGUUGUGACGCCAGUCGCAUCGCCGGGUAGCUAUGUUCGGAAGGGAUAACCGCUGAAAGCAUCUAAGCGGGAAGCCUACCUCAAGAUAAGAUUUCCCUAGGACUUUAUGUCCUCUAAAGAGCCGUUCGAGACUAGGACGUUGAUAGGUUGGAUGUGGAAGCAUAGUGAUAUGUGAAGCUGACCAAUACUAAUUGCUCGUGAGGCUUGACUAUACAACACCCAAGCAGUUG
rnacentral:rRNA from 1 species